AAGUCUGAUGGAGCAACGCCGCGUGAGUGAAGAAGGCUUUCGGGUCGUAAAACUCUGUUGUUGGAGAAGAAUGGUCGGCAGAGUAACUGUUGUCGGCGUGACGGUAUCCAACCAGAAAGCCACGGCUAACUACGUGCCAGCAGCCGCGGUAAUACGUAGGUGGCAAGCGUUAUCCGGAUUUAUUGGGCGUAAAGCGAGCGCAGGCGGUUUUUUAAGUCUGAUGUGAAAGCCCUCGGCUUAACCGAGGAAGUGCAUCGGAAACUGGGAAACUUGAGUGCAGAAGAGGACAGUGGAACUCCAUGUGUAGCGGUGAAAUGCGUAGGAUAUAUGGAAGAACACCAGUGGCGAAGGCGGCUGUCUGGUCUGUAACUGACGCUGAGGCUCGAAAGCAUGGGUAGCGAACAGGAUUAGAUACCCUGGUAGUCCAUGCCGUAAACGAUGAAUGCUAGGUGUUGGAGGGUUUCCGCCCUUCAGUGCUGCAGCUAACGCAUUAAGCAUUCCGCCUGGGGAGUACGACCGCAAGGUUGAAACUCAAAGGAAUUGUCGGGGGCCCGCACAAGCGGUGGAGCAUGUGGUUUAAUUCGAAGCAACGCGAAGAACCUUACCAGGUCUUGACAUCUUUU
rnacentral:rRNA from 2 species